GCAGGCUGNAACCCGCCUGCAUGAAGUCGGAAUUGCUAGUAAUCGCGGAUCAGCAUGCCGCGGUGAAUACGUUCCCGGGCCUUGUACACACCGCCCGUCACACCAUGGGAGCCGGUAAUACCCGAAGUCAGUAGUCCAACCUCGUGAGGACGCUGCCGAAGGUAGGAUUGGCGACUGGGGUGAAGUCGUAACAAGGUAUC
rnacentral:rRNA from 1 species